rnacentral:tRNA from 1 species
GGGCGGUUAGCUCAGCGGUAGAGCGCUACAUUCACAUUGUAGAAGUCAGAGGUUCGAAUCCUCUACCGCCCACCA